UNUGGCUCAACUGGGGGCGUGCGGUGGGUACGGGCUGGCUUGAGUGCGGUAGGGGAGGCUGGAACUCCUGGUGUAGCGGUGGAAUGCGCAGAUAUCAGGAAGAACACCGGUGGCGAAGGCGGGUCUCUGGGCCGUUACUGACGCUGAGGAGCGAAAGCGUGGGGAGCGAACAGGAUUAGAUACCCUGGUAGUCCACGCUGUAAACGUUGGGCACUAGGUGUGGGGGCCACCCGUGGUUCCCGCGCCGUAGCUAACGCUUUAAGUGCCCCGCCUGGGGAGUACGGCCGCAAGGCUAAAACUCAAAGGAAUUGACGGGGGCCCGCACAAGCGGCGGAGCAUGCGGAUUAAUUCGAUGCAACGCGAAGAACCUUACCAAGGCUUGACAUGCGCCCCGGGCGCGCGGAGACGCGCGCGCAUUUGGUUGGGGGUGUGCAGGUGGUGCAUGGUUGUCGUCAGCUCGUGUCGUGAGAUGUUGGGUUAAGUCCCGCAACGAGCGCAACCCUUGCCCUAUGUUGCCAGCGCGUUGUGGCGGGGACUCGUGGGGGAUUGCCGGGGUUAACUCGGAGGAAGGUGGGGAUGACGUCAAAUCAUCAUGCCCCUUAUGUCUUGGGCUUCACGCAUGCUACAAUGGCCGGUACAGAGGGUUGCGAUGCCGUGAGGCGGGGCGAAUCCCUUAAAGCCGGUCUCAGUUCGGAUUGGGGUCUGCAACUCGACCCCAUGAAGGUGGAGUCGCUAGUAAUCGCAGAUCAGCAACGCUGCGGUGAAUACGUUCUCGGGCCUUGUACACACCGCCCGUCACGUCACGAAAGUUGGUAACGCCCGAAGCCCAUGGCCCAACCGGCUCGUCCGGGG
rnacentral:rRNA from 1 species